ACUUUUUUAAUAGAAAUACUGCACAAUGGGAUUUUCUGUCUUCACAACAAUGCUUAAACCGCAUCAGGGGACCACUUUUGAUGUAUGGAAAAAAUCUAAGAAACUUUGAUUUUUGAGUGUAGUUACCGUUUAAUUCAGUGAGCAUGCACUGUUUGGUUAGAAGUGUUUCUGUAUCACAGCAACGGCACAUGUGAUGGAAUUUGGAAAUCAAAUGGAUACUUGUAGUAAUACUGGACAGCGAAAAAUGAUGGGGGAGAGGGUGAAUGUGACAAAGUCCUGACUGGGCCCAGCACCGCACGUCACUGUGCCUGUUCCCCUGGCCCCGAAGAGGAACCAGUGGCAUGAUGUCACACACCUGUUUGGCUGGAGGCAGGGGCCUGGAGACUCUAGGAGCUGUGGGGUGUCAAGUUGGCACCCCUGCUACGCCCUGUGGAUGUGUCAAAAUGGCAGAUGAUGGUCGGGGUGUGUGCAGCUGCUAGGGAUGAAGAGUGCCAAGAGCGAAUGUUUCCUGCGGGUCAAAUAAACAUGAAAAGAAAGGGAGAGAUAUCAGACUUCUUUUUAAGGAAGCACAAACAGGCAGAUCAGGUGAAAACAGACCCCAGCCCUUGCAUCACCACCGGACCCCAGAGCAGCUCCCUACCUGAGGCUAGUCAGAGUCAGUGUGGUCAGACUUCACAAGGACCCUGUCUACCACCACCAGAUAUAUCAAGGGAUGACACAGAGACCUCUGGCUCUGAGCACGACAGUGAGCCAGAGCUGCCAGGAGAUGUCAUCGAGCCCCUCCCAACUGCAUCAAGCACCAGAUAUGCUGUUCUAAAAGGACCCGAUGACAUUUCAAGAACCAGAGAAGACGGUCCUGUACAGCCGUGUCUGAAAACAUUUCCCAGAACUCAGCAUGGUACUAGGAAAAGGGCUUUCAACUGCUCCUAGUAUAAGGACAAUUCUUGGCUUGAAUAUUCUGUAAAUCAAGAUUCGACUUAUUGUUUCGCCUGUAGGCAUUUUUCUCUGCUCAAUACACCUUAAUCUGCCUUCACAUCACAGUCAGGUUUUUGUAACUGGAAAAAGGCGCAGUUUAAAGAUUCUGGGUUUAAGCUCCAUUCGAAGGCAGAGCAUCAUAUCAAAUCUAUGUAUGCUUGGAAUCAGCAUAAAAGGGAUAUUGACAGCAACUCAUCAAUGUUAGAUGUCAUAAAUGAGGACCGGAAAAAGAAAGUGGAGAAAAACUGUACUUACAUUAAAACAAUUUCAGAUGUGCUCCUAUUAACUGCCACUCAAAAUAUAGCGCAGAGAUGUCAUCGAGAG
rnacentral:lncRNA from 1 species